rnacentral:rRNA from 1 species
UACGGAGGGGGCGAGCGUUAUUCGGAAUUAUUGGGCGUAAAGGGCGCGUAGGCGGCUCUAUAAGUCAAAGGUGAAAUCCCUCGGCUCAACUGAGGAACUGCCUUUGAAACUGUUGGCUUGAGGCCGGGAGAGGGUAGUGGAAUUCCCAGUGUAGCGGUGAAAUGCGUAGAUACUGGGAGGAACACCAGUGGCGAAGGCGGCUACCUGGACCGGUUCUGACGCUGAGGCGCGAAAGCGUGGGGAGCAAACGGGG